rnacentral:SRP_RNA from 1 species
CCGAGCUUACAAGGCAGUUCCCUUGGCUGAUGAACAAGAUCAGCCGCACGCUGUCGCUGCCGUUCGGAUCACCCGCAGCCAACUUGGUUGAGGGUGGCAAGUCGCAGAAUCCGCCAGAGCU